UACGUAGGGGGCAAGCGUUGUCCGGAUUUACUGGGCGUAAAGAGCGCGUAGGCGGAAGCUUAAGCGGUGCCUGAAAGCCCCCGGCUCAACCGGGGAGGGUGGUGCCGAACUGGGCUUCUUGAGGGCGAUAGAGGAGAGUGGAAUUCCGGGUGUAGCGGUGAAAUGCGGUAGAGAUCCGGAGGAACACCGUGGCGCAGGGCGGCGUCUCUG
rnacentral:rRNA from 1 species